rnacentral:rRNA from 1 species
CUACGGGAGGCAGCAGUGGGGAAUUUUGCGCAAUGGGCGAAAGCCUGACGCAGCAACGCCGCGUGGAGGAUGAAGGUCUUUGGAUUGUAAACUCCUGUCGACCGGGAAAAAGCAACUCGACCUAACACGUCGGGGAGUUGAUUGUACCGGUGGAGGAAGCCCCGGCUAACUCUGUGCCAGCAGCCGCGGUAAUACAGAGGGGGCAAGCGUUAUUCGGAAUUAUUGGGCGUAAAGGGCGCGUAGGUGGCCCGGCAAGUGGAAGGUGAAAUCCCUCGGCUCAACUGAGGAACUGCCUUCCAAACUGUUAGGCUUGAGUCCGGGAGAGGUGAGUGGAAUUCCCAGUGUAGCGGUGAAAUGCGUAGAUAUUGGGAGGAACACCAGUGGCGAAGGCGGCUCACUGGACCGGAACUGACGCUGAGGCGCGAAAGCGUGGGGAGCAAACGGGAUUAGAUACCCCGGU